rnacentral:tRNA from 1 species
AGUUUAAUGGCAAAACCUCAGCCUUCCAAGCUGAUGUUGUGGGUUCGAUUCCCAUC